GACGAACGCUGGCGGCGCGCCUAACACAUGCAAGUCGAACGAGCGAGAGAGAGCUUGCUUUCUCGAGCGAGUGGCGAACGGGUGAGUAACGCGUGAGGAACCGGCCUCAAGUGGGGGGACAACAGGUGGAAACGACUGCUAAUACCGCAUAGGCCCACGGCUCGGUGUCGAGCAGGGGGAAGAGGAGCAAUCCGCGUUUAGAUGGCCUCGCGUCCGAUUGUCUAGGUGGUGAGGUAACGGCCCACCAAGGCGACGAAAGGUAGCCGGACUGAGAGGUUGAACGGACACAUUGGGACUGAGACACGGCCCAGACUCCUACGGGAGGCAGCAGUGGGGAAUACUGCAAAAUGGGGGAUAUGCUGAUGCAGCGCCGCCGCGUGGAGGAAGAAGGUCUUAGGAUUGUACACUCCUGUUGUUCGGGAAGAUAAUGACGGUACCCAACAAGGAAGUGACGGCUAACUACGUG
rnacentral:rRNA from 1 species